rnacentral:rRNA from 1 species
GACGAACGCUGGCGGCGUGCUUAACACAUGCAAGUCGAACGAAGAGCGAUGGAAGCUUGCUUCUAUCAAUCUUAGUGGCGCACGGGUGAGUAACGCGUAAUCAACCUGCCCUUCAGAGGGGGACAACAGUUGGAAACGACUGCUAAUACCGCAUACGAUCUAAUCUCGGCAUCGAGGAUAGAUGAAAGGUGGCCUCUACAUGUAAGCUAUCACUGAAGGAGGGGAUUGCGUCUGAUUAGCUAGUUGGAGGGGUAACGGCCCACCAAGGCGAUGAUCAGUAGCGGGUCUGAGAGAGUGAACGCCAACAUUGGAACGGAGCAAGGCCCCGGACUCCUCGGGGGGGCGCCGGUGGGGAAUCUUCCGCAAUGAAGGAAGGGCGAACGGAGCACCGCGGGGUGAGUAAUGACGGCUUCCGGGUGUUAAAGUUCUGUUAUCCGGAAGGAAGGGCAUCUUGGCAAGAGGGGAAAAGAUUGACGGUACCCGAAAAAGAAGCCCCGGCUAACUACGUG